rnacentral:lncRNA from 1 species
AUUCUCGGGGCCCGAGGCUCAGCCGCUCGCGGUGGAGAAAGCAGGCCGCGGAGGAGGCGGGCGCCCAGGCCUGCCCGGACAGGAAGUGGGCCCAGCUUUCCCACUCCUCGCUCCGCUCCUUCCUCCGCGGGAAGGGCAGGCCCCGGAGGCAGCGAGCGCCCCGGGGGUGGCCGGGCAGCCGGAUGCUCCCGGGGUUGCGGGCUGUGGCCCCGGGGGCUGAGGGCGGCGCGGGUGCGGCGGAAGCAGGGAAGCCGCGAACCGGCCUUCUGGCUGGCCACAGCGCCCUGCACGGACGAUCAGUGAAUGGAGAUUACUCAAGUAUUUAUCGAGAACUUGCAGUGGGCUAGGCACAGUUCAGGUAGAUCAACAAACCGAAAGACCCUGCCCUAGGGGAGCUUUCGCUCCAAUGCGGGGAGAGGGUGGAUGAUUGCAGUUUUGCCCAGUAAUUUUUGGGACCCUCAUGCCACCAUUAAUUAGCUACACACAUUUCACCGAAAGUCUACCUUACAUAUUAAUCAGAAGAAGUGGAAGAAUAAACACAGAAGAAGCAAAAAAGGAAGGAACUUUCUCACUGAAAGUUUCUAUUUAAUAUUAAGUCUUAAAAGUACUCCUGGAAGGACAAAAGGUGUUCUUAAUAAAUUAUAUUCGCAAAUAUUGGAUUUAAUCCUACCAGUAAUGAAGCAGUCAGUUACUUUCUAGAUGUGCAGAAAUACGUAAUGAACAAAAAAAACUAAUUCCUAUUCCAUUUUUUAUUAGGUCCACAGUUAUUUCACUUCUAAAUAAAUAUGGUUUUUUAAAAGUGGCACGCGGUGGAAUGUAAUUGAGACAGGAUGGAGUUCCUAGAGAAAUUUUACUUCCUCAAUCUGCACUCCACCUUACUUAAAAUACAGUCUUGGGUCUGUAAUUCCCUUAUCUGACUCUCAAGGAAAUGACAAAGUAAUGCCUAGAUUGGACUAAACCUCAUUUAACUUCAAGGCUGACCUUUCUCAAAGUUGAACCUUCGUCUUGUGAGGAACAGAAAGAUCAAGAACUCUGAAGCACCUCGACUUUCCACCUGUGAAGAUGUGUUCAAAUUUGCAACGUGCGGCCACACCUAUGAGGUCACUCCCUCUGGAGGAAACCAGCUGCCACUUUGUGAGGAUACUCAUAGUCCUGUGGAGGCAUAUCCUCCAUAUGGCUGAGACCUCCUGCGAACAACCAUCACUGACUUGCCAGACAUGAGUGUGCCACCUUGGAAGCAGAUUUUCCAGCCCCAGUUAAGCCUUCAGAUGACAUCAGCCCCUGCUAAUCUCUUGACUACAACCUCAUGAGAGACCCUGAGCCAGAACUAGCCAGGCUUACCCCUCAUGGUUACAAAGUGGCUGCAACAGCUCCAGGUGUUCUAUCCUUUAACACAGAAUAACUCAAACAACAAGACCCAAUAUUCAGACAAGAAGGAAAGGGACUUUUGGAGAGUGAAGAAAACUUUCCUAGAAACCUCAAACUUCUCCCCAUGCCUUAUUGGCCAGAUUGUAUCCCAUGCCCAUUUCUAAACCAAUCAUUGGCAAAGUGAGUGGAAUUGACGUGAUUAGAUUAACUUUACCAAGAAUGCAUCCUCAGAGAGGCUGAGAAAAAGUCCAGCCUCCUUUGAAGAGCCUGGCUACCUUUCACCUGAACAAAACAAGAAUUCUGAUGAAAAAUGGAGAAUGUAUGUGGAGCAGGCACCCGGAGUGUCUAUGCCAGGAUUUUUUUUCAGUGCGUUUCACCGGUUAUAUUUUUGUCUCUUUACCUUACAAGAUAUGUGGCACGUUUGCCUAAAACAAGCCUUGCUUUCUGAUUUCUGUGCACUAGGCACUUAAACCUUGCAAAUGUCGCUUACCUAACAGUCACUGUCAAGGAGUACCUGGCUAAAGAAUCUCCAGCUAGACAAAGUAGAAGUGUCUGUGCUCUGGCAGUUGAAUAUAUUGUAUCAGGCUCAACAGCACCUUUCACCAAAGGAUGAGACUUCACAACCAUUAGAUCUUCUUUUAUUUUGUUUUUAUUAAAAAAAAAAAUUUUAACACACCAUUGCUAACUUGAAGCCAUUAGAUCUUCUUACCCCCAAUACCACAAAAGUUUAGUGGAAUCAGGGGUAUACCAAGGCAGGUGGAGUAGGGGAGCUGGGAGUGGUCAGCCCCCAGGGCAGGCAAUGAGGGAUUGUGAAUCUGUGAAGAAUUUUAAAGCAAUGAUACAGCUCUAAAUGCAAUGUACUAUCCUGGACUUAGCCCUGGAAAAGAAAAAAGAUAUUAGUGGAAAAACUGGUAAAAUUCAAAUAAUGUCUGUAGUUUGGUUAAUAGUAUUAUACCAAUGUUAAUUUCUGUGUUUUGAUAAAUGUACCAUGGUUAUGUAAGCUGGAUGAAAGAUAUGUGGGAAAUCUCUCUACUAUUUCUGCAACUCUCCUGUAAACCUAAAAAUGUUUCAAAAUAAAAGAUUUAAUGCU